rnacentral:snRNA from 1 species
GGGUGUGAGGGCAGUCUGGCUGCAAUCUCUGCCGCCCCACUGAUGACCAGGUCGAAUGAGCUGACCCAGCUGGUCUGGUGGGUGUUCACUUCCCCCUCAAUGCUCCUUGUGCAUCCCUACCAAAGCUGCACCCUGGUUGAAGAGGGUGAUCUUCCCCAUGGAGAUAGUGCUCUUCAUCUGUCAAGGGUAUACAGCAGCCCUGCCCCCUGCUAGAACCAACCUCCAAACAAGUUCAAGGUCUAUGGCUAUUUAUGCGGCAACUGCAGUUUCUCUAAUGAUU